UGGGGAAUAUUGGACAAUGGGCGCAAGCCUGAUCCAGCCAUGCCGCGUGAGUGAUGAAGGCCCUAGGGUUGUAAAGCUCUUUCACCGGUGAAGAUAAUGACGGUAACCGGAGAAGAAGCCCCGGCUAACUUCGUGCCAGCAGCCGCGGUAAUACGAAGGGGGCUAGCGUUGUUCGGAUUUACUGGGCGUAAAGCGCACGUAGGCGGACUUUUAAGUCAGGGGUGAAAUCCCGGGGCUCAACGCCGGAACUGCCUUUGAUACUGGAAGUAUUGAGUAUGGUAGAGGUGAGGGGAAUUCCGGGUGUAGAGAGGAAAUUCGUAGAUAUUCGGAGGAACACCAGUGGCGAAGGCGGCUCACUGGACCAUUAAUGACGCUGAGGUGCGAAAGCGUGGGGAGCAAACAGG
rnacentral:rRNA from 1 species